ACUCCUACGGGAGGCAGCAGUGAGGAAUAUUGGACAAUGGGGGGCAACCCUGAUCCAGCCAUGCCGCGUGAGUGAUGACGGCCUUAGGGUUGUAAAGCUCUUUCGCUAGGGAAGAUAAUGACGGUACCUAGUAAAGAAGCCCCGGCUAACUUCGUGCCAGCAGCCGCGGUAAUACGAAGGGGCUAGCGUUGUUCGGAAUCACUGGGCGUAAAGCGCGCGUAGGCGGACUUUUAAGUCAGGGGUGAAAUCCCGGGGCUCAACCUCGGAACUGCCUUUGAUACUGGAAGUCUUGAGUUCGAGAGAGGUGAGUGGAAUACCGAGUGUAGAGGUGAAAUUCGUAGAUAUUCGGUGGAACACCAGUGGCGAAGGCGGCUCACUGGCUCGAUACUGACGCUGAGGUGCGAAAGNGUGGGGAGCAAACAGGAUUAGAUACCCU
rnacentral:rRNA from 1 species